UUUGCUCGCGGGUAGCGACGUCUGCCCUGCACAGUCACAAACCUGGCUGUAGUUGCUCCGUAAACAAAAUGGGAAUAGUUACCAGUUUCCACGUAUUUGAACCCCUCCCCUGAGAUUUUUAUCGGGUGGAAGAAGAACACAAAGCAGCUUCACCCUGAAAGCUCUGCCUUUUCUUUUUUCAUACACCAGAAGUUUCAUGCGUCAUGCCCCCUUCUCUUUGCAGCUUGAAUUUUUUGGAGUGAAGGCGUUGUACAGACAGCAUAAUACAGACUGCUGGUGGGGGUUGACUGCAGAUAAGUCGGCAGCUACUCUUGCAGCAUAUUAGUCAUUAAAAACAUUUUGUUCUUACAGACUGGUAAUGGAGGGAAAGAUGAUGUUUAUUGACUUAAGGAUGGCAUUUUCUGACAGUUCACGUUACAGUUCUGAGUAUUUAAGAACAGAUCUGAGUCAUUUAAAAAUUCAGACUUCAUAAAAAAUGUGCAGACUAUUUAUUGAAGAAUUUCACUGUCUUUCACUUUUUAUUUAGGAAAUAAAAAGAAGACAGCUAGCAGAAGCUGCCGAAAAGAGACAGAUGGAGGCUUCCUCUCGCGGUAUUAAGAAUGUUUAUUCUGUAGAG